GGCGGGGAUAGUAGAGUUUGUUGUUAAAGGUAGGAAUCACUAUCUGAAAAAAUGAAAAAUUGAGCAAGUAACUUCCUCCUAUGAAAUCCCAAGACGCUUUGUAGAACCCAGAAGUCAGACCAUCCGACCUGGCGCCUUAUUAGGGUUGAGCUUUAAGAAGGGCUGUUUUAUUUCUUCACUAGAUGAGAGAACAAGCAUUUGCUGAUGAUGCUGAGAAUUUGAUCAAAAAGCCGAGAGAUAGCAUAACCAAACUUUAGUGGAUUGAAGGUGAUUAUUUGAGGCCGGAAGUAGACCAAGAAUUGCCUUAAAGUGGUUAAUAGAGUGGGAGCUCAUCUCUAAAGGGUCUGAAAUAAUUUCAUCGGCCAUCACAAAAGAUCUGAUUGCACUGUAACUUGCUCUAGUCUGGCAUAUGCAAUGGAAGUAUGUAGUGUUUAGGUUUUCCUUUGUUAACCAGUUGAUUCUAGAUUUCUGUCUAAAUAAACAUGUAACGACCCGGUUUUCUUAACCGGUUGGUUUGAUUUCUCUUUAAUUAAUUUGGACUCAACCAA
rnacentral:lncRNA from 1 species